GAGUUUGAUCCUGGCUCAGAUUGAACGCUGGCGGAAUGCUUUACACAUGCAAGUCGAACGGCAGCACGGGUGCUUGCACCUGGUGGCGAGUGGCGAACGGGUGAGUAAUGCGUCGGAACGUAUCCAAUAAUGGGGGAUAACGCAGCGAAAGCUGUGCUAAUACCGCAUACGCCCUGAGGGGGAAAGCAGGGGAUCUUCGGACCUUGCGUUAAUGGAGCGGCCGACGUCUGAUUAGCUAGUUGGUGGGGUAAUGGCCUACCAAGGCGACGAUCAGUAGCGGGUCUGAGAGGAUGAUCCGCCACACUGGAACUGAGACACGGUCCAGACUCCUACGGGAGGCAGCAGUGGGGAAUUUUGGACAAUGGGCGCAAGCCUGAUCCAGCCAUUCCGCGUGAGUGAAGAAGGCCUUCGGGUUGUAAAGCUCUUUCGGCAGGGAAGAAACAGUUGAGGCUAAUAUCCUUGACCAAUGACGGUACCUGCAGAAGAAGCACCGGCUAACUACGUGCCAGCAGCCGCGGUAAUACGUAGGGUGCGAGCGUUAAUCGGAAUUACUGGGCGUAAAGCGUGCGCAGGCGGUUUUUCAAGUCUGAUGUGAAAUCCCCGGGCUUAACCUGGGAACUGCGUUGGAAACUGAAAGACUAGAGUGCGGCAGAGGGGGGUAGAAUUCCACGUGUAGCAGUGAAAUGCGUAGAUAUGUGGAGGAAUACCGAUGGCGAAGGCAGCCCCCUGGGUCGACACUGACGCUCAUGCACGAAAGCGUGGGUAGCAAACAGGAUUAGAUACCCUGGUAGUCG
rnacentral:rRNA from 1 species